AGAUGAAUUAUAGGAUUAUUACAUUCUUCCCCAAACCUCCCCGUAAACCCUAUCUUCCCCUUCCCCAAAUUCAUCCAGUUUAGCGACUUCGACCGGCGAUUUCGUCUUUUCGACUUAUAAAUCACUAAUCCAAAUCCAACGACUCCUUUUAAUCUUUCCGUCUUCCCUACCCCUUUCACGAUGCUACUACCAUAUCCCCUUACAACGACAAGGCUGGGAUUUGGCCAGAAAUGGGGCGGAUAGUGGAUAAGAUUCGUUGGCUCGACUGCUAUAUAGUCAGUCUUAAGUAUUUUUUUUUUAUUUGAUUGCUUAAAUUUUUGCAAUUAAUUGGAGAAGUGUUAUUUCUCUUGUGGAUGUGAUUGUACUUUUUCGAUGUGUGUUGGUUAUUUGAAUUUGACUUGCUUUUUGGUAAAUUAAGGCAUUUCAUGUUUUAAUUUUGGGCAUAUAGCAAAGUUCUCUAAUUAGAAUUUGCAAGAGCUUGCUUUGUUAACUGAUCUUGGUACCACUUUUAUAUUUAUUAUCUUUUCAAAAGAUAAAAGCACUCUUUAUCAGAUGCACAUAUCUGUUUAGUAUUAAAAAUAAUCUGGAUUUUACUGAUAAAUAAUUAUAGACUCGGACCUGCAUACAAUUCACAUUGAUUGUCCACUCAGUUGUAUGCCUUUCAGUUUGGUAAUUGUCCCUUUAUAAAUGAUUGUAAAUAAAUCUCCUUGUAGUCUUAAGUUUUGAAAGGGAAAUCCAUAUUCCGUGAAACAUCCUCUGUACAAUAGAUUUAAGUAUCUUCUCUACCGCUAAUUUGUGCUUCUAUUGAGUGAGAACUGAAUAAAUCAGUCUCUGCAAAUGUAAUUUAAGGUUAAAUCGGAGUCCGUCAACAUGAGAAUGGUGAUUGAGUAUAAGGUGUGUGAGCUCUUAAUACCUUCUUACUAUUCUGUAUGAAUCAGAUAGAGGAGAUUCAGAUGUCACUGCUACCAAGGCAACUCGAUAGUAAAAGAGAGCUGAAGUGUGGUUACUUUAACUAUUUAUGAUUAUUUCUCUUCUAAUAUCAUGCUUCUUGGACUCAAAAUCAAAAUUUGCUUAGUAUUACGUGAUAUAGAGCUUCAAAUUACAAUCAAAUUCUAACUUAGAGGGGCUUUCAAGAGCAUUUACUUACCAACAUGACAUUCAAAGAUAAAGGGUAACUCUUUUUUCCUAUAAUAAUUGAUGCCAUGGUAUGCGCACAUCCUGUAAAUACCAAAUAAAGUUACUAGCUCUAAAAAGGGUGAACUUUUACUUAUGUUGUAGGUGUCUGUGAGGAGAAUCCAGAAGUUAUCUGUCAAGAUUACAUAAACUAGUUUCUCCUUUAUAGCAAGGGACGGCCAAAAGGAGUCACUCCUAAAUUCAGCCUAGCACUGCUCGUCCCAGGUGAUCUAAACUACUUGUCCAGGGACAAACGUUCGUCGAAAAGGAAAAUGAUGUUGGCCAAGGAGGAAUCCAUAGACAACAACAACAACAACCCAGUAUAAUCCCACAAGUGGGGUCUGGGGAGGAUAAUAUGUACGCAGACCUUACCCCUACCCCGAAGGGUAGAGAGGCUGUUUCCAGGAGACCCUCGGCUCAAAAAAACAAUAGGAAUCCAUAGACAGUUGAUUUUAUUUUCCAUGUUUAUGCACAAUUGAAUGUAUUAUGGAGUGUUGUAUACUUUGUAGAAUAGAUGGUAAUGAAAAGUUCUAUGUCAUUUUAUUCAAUUGUA